CUUCUACGUCUAAUGCUAUAUCAGGAUUAUUUUCAGAUUUUCUAAAAGAGGAAUGCAGGUUGUUUUGGAGAAGGAAUCUCUGUUUCGUUACUCAACAUAAAAACAACCGCCAACAUAGAUGGUCUGUCCGCGGCAUCUUCUUGCACGCACAGCAGACCAAUCUGUAUGCAUUUCAAGGCUUCACGCGGAUCAUACAACUCCGUCAGUGAUGGAUCUACUAUCUCCAAUGCUUUGUCUUGUCUCCACAAUUCCCACACCUGUGUUGUGCAUAUAAAUCAUUAACAUACAAGAAAUAAAAGCAGACAACAUCUAAAAUUGUGAACAUUGAAAAUGCAGCCAAGAGCACGCAUGGCUCUCUUAUAACUCACAUAUCCAAUCAAGGUCAAAGGAGGAUCCUGUUGAUAAAAUCUAUUGUUCUUCUUGCCACUCACAAUCUCUAGCAACAUGACCCCAAAACUGAAAACAUCUGAUUUUACAGAAAAGUUUCCAAGCACAGCAUAUUCUGGUGACAUAUAGCCACUGCAUCAGAAAAGCAAGAAUCUGAAGUUUUAGUAUUCCUGGUAAUCAAUGAUACUACUUUGUCACUCGGUCUUUGUUUUAGACAAAGCUACUUACUAUGUUCCUACAACUCUCCUUGUCCUAUCUUCAGUUUGGUUGCCUUCAAAUAUUUUUGCCAUUCCAAAAUCUGAUAUUUUUGGGUUCAUCUCUGCAUCCAAUAGAAUGUUGCUGCAUUUUAAAUCCCUGUGAAUGAUUCUCAACCUGGAGUCUUGGUGAAGAUAUAAAAUCCCACGAGCUAUCCCAACAAUAAUAUCAAAGCGUUUUCGCCAAUCCAAUAACAAUCUUCUGCUUUCAUCUGUUGAAACAAUUAUUUUUCAGACAACUAGAAUAAAUCAGGGCAAUAAAAACAUAAAGAGACUUACGGAAAAGAAACGAGUCCAAGCUUUUGUUUGGCAAGUAUUCAUAGAUUAACAUUUGUUCUCCAUCCUGAUUGCAAUAACCUAGAAGUUUCACCAGAUUCCUGUGUUGAAGCAUUGCAAUUACCAUAACUUCAUUUUUAAAUUCUUCUGUUCCUUGUCCUGAACUUCUGGAUAACCUUUUUACUGCAACCUCCUGUCCAUUAGCUAGCAGACCCUAAAAUCAUGUAGCAUUUAAUUAGAUGAUUAUUAAAAUUAGAGAAAAACAAAUGUGUAGUAUUGAGAGGCCAUUUAGGUUUUUGCUAGAUGCAGUAAGAAACUCUACCUUAUAAACCGAGCCAAAGCCACCUUGCCCGAGUUUGUUAGCUGGAGAGAAGGUUUUAGUGGCCGCCAUUAUGGUGCUGAGCUUGAAAUAUUCCAGUUCAGUAGAAUUGCUGUUUACCUGCAGCUCAGUACCUUUUUUGGCUCUCUUCUUGAACCACAAAUAAGCAUAUAGGCUAAUGAGAAACCAAAAUGAUGCAAUUGAUGGUACUAAAUGUUGAAUAUUAAACUCAAUCCAGAAGCUCCAAAAGGUCAAGGAAGGCAACUAGCCACCAGCCACCAGCCGCAGCCGCCAGCCGCCUUCACACUUGAAGAAAGUUUGAAUUUUCGUAUUUUGAUUUUGUCUAUAAAUAGAGUGCCCAGCUUAUGUUAUAUGUGUGGAGAAAAUAGAGAGGAACACUUGAAAGAGAAAGAGAGAGAGAGGGCGUGUAUUAAGCUUUUGCUUUGUGUAAUUGUAAGCUUCGUUUUUGUGUAAUAAAACAGUGUGUUUUAUCCCCUCUGAGUGUUUCAAAGCCACCACCAGUGGUUUCUCCCACCAACAAUUGGUAUCAGAGCCCCGUUCGUCGGAAAACAGAAGAGUUUUGGGGUAUAUCCGAAUUUUCAAAAUUGUCAAAAACAAGUUUUGAUCAUUCCAUAGUGUAGAGCUCAUCAAGACGAACUCACUGCCACAAAAAUCAGCCUCAUCGGAGUCCGCGGUAGCCCACACGCGCCGCCUGAAUAUUCUGCCAGAUCGCCCACGCGCCCCAAGGUUGAAGACGACUGAGCCACACGCGCGCCAUAUUUGAGCCGCGCCGAGCCGUAUACGCCGAGCCGAAAGCCGAGUCCAGCUGCGCCGUACUCCGCGCUGAGCCGCCUUCCAGCCGAAGCCGAGCUGAAAGAAUAUUCCACAGAAUAUUCCCAGUUCAACCCAGUGAACCGCCCGCCGUACAGAAUUGGUUUUUUGACCAGUUCACCCAUUUGCUGACCCUAUUUCAACAAAUUCAAACCGGUUCCCGACUAUUUGGACCAUUCCGGAUCGAUCUACAGUGUCCGUUUAGUCAAAUUCGGCUCCCAGAAAGGUGAUAUAGUCAUUGAAAGAGAAAAAUGACUACAGAAGGUACACAUACACUCAUCCCGAAGCUGACCAAAGACAACUAUGAUAGUUGGUGCAUCAGAUUGAAGGCAUUUCUUGGGUCACAAGAGUGUUUGGAUAUUGUACAAACUAGUUAUGAUGAACCAGAGUCCAAAGAAAGAGAAGAUGCUUUACAAGAGGCACAGAAGCAAGCCCUCAAAGUCAACAGAAAGAAAGACAACAAGGCAAAGACCAUCAUCUAUCAAGGUCUUGAUGAAGAUACAUUCGAGAUAAUAGCUUCCGCUGAAACGUCACAUGACAUAUGAGAGGCUCUCCAAUAGAAAUACAAAGGUGCUGACAGAAUCAAGAAGAUUCGUCUUCAAUCUUUACGAGGUGACUUCGAACUAUUGCAAAUGAAGUCCUCGGAGUCUAUUUCUGAUUAUCACACAAGGAUUAUGGUGAUAGUCAACCAGAUGAGAAGAAAUGGAGAAGCCCUCAUCGAUUCUCGAAUUACAGAAAAAUUUUUGAGAUCCCUAGAUCCAAAAUUUGAUUUUAUUGUUGUCGUAAUUGAAGAGUCCAAGGAAGUGGACAAGUUGACAGUAGAUGAACUUAUGAGUUCUUUGCAAGCUCAUGAGCAGAAGAUUCUAAAGAGAAAUGAAGAUAAGGCCAUUGAGCAUGCCUUACAAGCAAAGCUGUCUCUCAAGGACAGAUAUGAGCAAGGGGAGACUUCAUCAAGUGGCUACACCACUCAAGCAGGAAGUCAACAAUCUAGAGGAGGAUUCCAGAGAUUCCAAGGAAGAGGUUCUUGCAAUACAAGCUUCAGAGGAAGAGGUGGUAGAAACACCACCAGAGGAGGCCGAGGCCAACAAGCAUUCACUCCCAGAGGAAGAGGAGGCGGUUACAAUAACCGUGACAAGAGGAAUAUCCAAUGUUAUAGUUGCAAUGAAUUUGGGCACUAUAGCACUGAAUGCAGAAGGAAAGCUCCGUUGGAGAUACGUGAGCAAGCCAACUAUGCAAAGAAGGAUGACAGAGAAGCAUCUGCAUUUCUUGUCCAACAAGAACUUGGCGAGAAACAGGAAAACAUAUGGUAUCUAGAUAUUGGAGCCAGCAAUCACAUGUGCGGCUACCGAGAGUUAUUUGGUGAUCUAGAUGAGACCAAGCAAGGUCUAGUUACUUUUGGAGAUACCACAAAGGUUCCAUUCAAAGGUAAAGGCAGCAUCCCAGUCAAGUUGAAGAACGGCGAUUCCAGCUACAUCGCCGAUGUGUAUUAUGUCCCAGCCAUAAAGCAAAACCUGAUCAGCUUAGGUCAACUUUUGGAGAGAGGAUAUAGUUUUUACUCGAAGAAUUGUCAUCUGACAAUUAGAGACAACAAUGGGAGAUUAAUGGCCUACGUGAAAAUGUCCAAGAAUAGGAUGUUUCCUUUGAACAUCCAGUAUGAUGCAACAAGGUGUUUGAGUGCCAUCACCAACAGUGAAGAAUGGCUUUGGCACCUGAGGCUUGGACAUCUGAAUUUCACAAGUCUGAAGAUGCUAGCAAGCAAAAAGAUGGUCAAAGGUUUGCCUCACAUUGAUCAUCCAGAUGAAGUCUGUGAGAGUUGUGUCCUCAGCAAACAUCACAGAUCUAGUUUUGCCAAAGAAGUCAACUGGAGAGCAAAGAGGCCACUGGAGUUAGUACACACAGAUGUGUGUGGCCCAAUCACGCCUAUGUCGACUGGACAAAAUAGGUACUUCCUCACUUUUACUGAUGAUUUUAGUAGAAAGACAUGGAUAUACUUUCUGAAGAGGAAGUCAGAAGUAUUCAAUUGUUUUAAAGAUUUUAAAGCAAUUGUGGAGAAGCAAACUGGUUACACGAUCAGAACCGUAAGAUCUGAUCAAGGUGGAGAAUAUACAGCAAAUGACUUUGAAGCCUAUUGUACACAACAAGGCAUCAGACAUCAGACGACACCAGCUUAUACACCACAGCUGAACGGUGUAGCAGAAAGGAAGAAUCGCACGAUUCUUGACAUGGCCAGAAGUCUGCUCAAAGCAAAGAAGUUGCCCAAGCAAUACUGGGCUGAAGCUGUAUCAUGUGCAGUGUAUCUACUGAAUCGCUGCCCAACCAGAAGUUUGCAAGGAGUCACUCCAGAAGAAGCAUGGAGUGGUCACAAACCAAGUGUUACUCAUCUACGAGUCUUUGGUUGUGUGGCAUAUGCAAAGAUCCCAGAUGCAAGAAGGAGAAAGCUCGAUGAUAAGAGCGAGAAAUGCAUCUUUGUCGGAUAUGGUGAAAGAAGGAUGGGAUACAGGCUGUAUAAUCCUAUCACGAAGAAGGUGAUUACGAGUAGAGAUGUUAUCUUUGAAGAAGAUAAAUCUUGGGCAUGGAAUGAUGAUCAAGAAGCAGUCAGAUGGCAACUGAUUUGAUCCUUGAAGGUGAAGAAGUACCAACAGUACUUGUCGAAGAACCGAUUGUGCCAGCAGCUGAACCACAAAGUCCGGCACACAGUUUCCCUGUAUUCAACAGGAGGAACACACCAGGAGCAUCAUCAUCAACACCACCAGCAUCCUCAUCAGAAGGACCAAGAAGGAUGCGGAAUCUUGAAGAGUUGUACGAUACCACUCAGGUCAUGGAAGAUACAACUCUGUUUUGUUUCUUUGCAGAUAGUGACCCAUUAAACUUCAAUGAAGCUGUCACAGAAGAGAAAUGGAUAGAAGCAAUGGAUGAAGAAAUACAUGCCAUUGAGAAGAAUGAUACCUGGAAGCUGACUUAUCUACCAGAAAACAAGAAAGCAAUAGGUGUCAAAUGGGUCUACAAGACGAAGAAGAACACCAAAGGAGAAGUGCAAAGAUACAAAGCCAGAUUAGUGGCUAAAGGCUACAAACAGAGAGAAGGCAUUGACUAUGGAGAAGUAUUUGCUCCAGUAGCCCGGCUAGAGACAAUCAGACUGAUGAUCUCACUAGCUGCACAACAUAGAUGGAAGAUCUAUCAACUCGAUGUGAAGUCAGCAUUUCUGAAUGGCUUCCUAGAAGAAGAGAUCUAUGUUGAACAACCACUUGGAUACAUUGAUGCUGAAAAUGAAGGCAAAGUAUACAAGUUGAAGAAGGCUCUCUAUGGUUUGAAGCAAGCUCCGCGUGCUUGGAAUACCAGAAUUGACAGGUAUUUUCAAGAUAAUGGAUUUGAAAAAUGUCCAUAUGAACACGCAAUGUAUGUGAAGAAAGGAGCAGAUGGCAGCAUCUUAUUUGCGUGCCUGUAUGUUGAUGAUUUGAUAUUCACCGGCAACAACCCUACCAUGUUUGACGACUUCAAACGAAGCAUGGUACAGGAGUUUGAAAUGACUGACAUUGGUCUAAUGUCACAUUUUCUUGGCUUAGAAGUAACGCAGAAGGAAGAAGGGAUUUUUGUAUCCCAAAGCGGUUACGCCAAAGAUAUUCUUGAAAGGUUCAAGAUGGAAAGCUGCAAUCCGGUAUCAACUCCAGUUGAGAAUGGAGUGGAAUUGAGGAAGAGUAAGGUUGGAAAUGUUGAUCCAACUUACUUCAAAAGCUUAGUAGGAAGCUUAAGGUACUUGACAUGUACCAGACCAGAUAUACUCUACGGAGUCGGACUCGUCAGCAGAUACAUGGAGACACCAGACCAGUCUCAUUUGAAUGCAGCCAAGAGAAUUCUUCGCUACAUCAAAGGCACAAUGAAUGAAGGUAUGUUUUAUACCUCAAGUAAAGACUUUAAUCUUGUAGGCUACUCGAAUAGUGAUUGGAGUAGAGAUCUGGAUGAAAGGAAAAGCACAACAGGGUUUGUCUUUUUCAUGGGAGACACAUCUUUCACAUGGUCAUCCAAGAAGCAAUCGAUUGUCACAUUAUCAAGCUGUGAAGCUGAGUAUGUUGCUGCCAACUCAGCCGUAUGCCAUUCAAUAUGGUUAAGGAAUAUGCUGAAGUUUUUGGGAUUUCCUCAAGAAAGUCCUGCGGAGAUUUAUAUUGACAAUCGAUCAGCAAUCGCAUUAGCAAAGAAUCCAGUGUAUCAUUAGAGGAGCAAACACAUUGAUACACGUCAUCACUUUAUCCGGGAACAUGUGAAGAAUGAAGAAGUCCAACUGAUAUCUUGCAACACAAAUGAUCAAGUUGCUGACAUCUUCACAAAGCCAUUGAAUGGAGAAGCAUUCAUCCGAUUAAAGUUCAUGCUUGGCAUGACAUCCCUCGAUUGAGUUUAAGGGGGAGAUUUGUUGAAUAUUAGGAUUAUCUGAAUACAAAGGAGACAUAUUCAAGAACGACUCGAAAGAAUAUUUAACCUAUUUAAUACACUUAACUAAGGGUGUAUUCCGUAACCCUAUAUGUUUUUGAACUAAUUAGUUAAUUUUCUUAAAAACCCAAAAAUUAACGGUUUUCCUGAAAUCUGAUCCAUAAUAAAACAAAUAAUAAGACUUGAUAAUAAUUCACUAAAUAACCCUCAUUUAUUCAUCAAACCAAUCUAAAAAAGCUAAUAUUAUAGUUAGGGACCCAUCUGGAAUUUAUUAUACUUUUAGGGCCAAAUUGUAAUUUUAAUCUAAUUGGAGGACCAAACUAAACAUAUCAUAAAUUCAUGCCUAUAGUGGAAUUAUGUUCAUAAUUUAUCCUAAUUUCUGUCCAGAACCUCUAAUUAUGCUCCAAGGACCAUUCUGGAAUUUUUUCCAAAAUUUUAGGGUCAAAUUGUAAUUUUUUGUCAAAUGGAGGACCAAACUAAAAUUUGUCAUAAAUCCAUGAAUAUACUGAAAUUCUGACCAUAAUUAAUCCUCAAUUCUGUACAGAAUAUCUCAUUAUGCUCUAGGGACCAUUCUGGAAUUUUACCAAAUUUUUAAGGGUCAAAUGGUAAUUUGUUCCAAAUUGGAUGAGGACCAAAUUGAAAGUGUUAAAAUUUCAUAACUAUACAAUAAUUCUUCCCAUUAAAUUUUUUUUUCUUUCACACUUAAAAUGAAGAAAAUUGAGCCAAGGUCAACUUGGAAAUGACAAUGAAUUUCAUUUAUACAUAUCACAUGACAAAAUUAACAAAAACAAAUUCUUUAUAUAAACUUAGCUUGCUUUGAGAGUACUUUGACACUUGCAUUGGGAUCAAUAUUCUUAUAAAUAUAAUUUAUUUAUUUUUUUAAACUCUAGUUUCCAAUUAUUUUUUACUUUCAAAACACAAAUUAUUGAAUCAAAAUAUUUUCUUAUUUCCCACAAUUCUCUCUCUCCAAGGGUUUGUGAAGGUAGAAAAAGUACCUUCACAAGUGUAUUAGAUAUGAUCUGUAUAUUCGAGUCGAUGCACUUAAAUUACUACUUGUUUUGCGCUGAAUUUCCCAAUAAAAACUACUAUUUUCAGAAACAUUUUUCAUAAACAAAAAUAUUAGUGAGAAAAGGCGUCUGCUCUUCAAAGUUAUUGUCUAUGUUCUGUUUCAAUCACAAUUGAGCUCUCUGUACUCUUCCCAUUCUCGUACACUUAAAUGGUUCUCUUGAAAAGGAAUUGCUGACCGUUCUUGUUCCAACUGUGGGUUCAACAUGGCUGAUCAUUAGCAUAUUUGGAUAUUUGUGGCUAUCAAAACAGAGGCGAUAGAGUAACUAUCCAUAAAAGAAUAGUUGACGAACACGACACCUAUAGCAUAACAUAUGAUGAUGAUGUUAGGUUUCGUCCUUGACACUAGGCAGAAUGGAUCAGUUGUUUAGAAUCAGGUUGGGAGUUUUAGCAGUGGGUACGUCUAGCGCUGAAGAGCUUGAUCUGUUGUGAUGUACAACAUAUUUGUUUUCAUAACAAAUCUAAUGGAACUUCAUAUUAGCAAAUUUUCAGACAGCACAGCUUCAGCGACUAGCAAUUUCAGUAAUUGUCACCUCAUUUAGAGAACACUGUCCAUCUUCUACGUUUAAUGCUAUAUCAGGAUUAUUUUCAGAUUUUCUAAAGAGGAAUGCAGGUUGUUUUGGAUAAGGAAUCUCUGUUUCGUUACUCAACAUAAAAACAACUGCCAACAUGGAUGGUCUGUCCGUGGCAUCUUCUUGCACGCACAGCAGACCAAUCUGUAUGCAUUUCAAGGCUUCACGCGGAUCAUACAACUCCGUCAGUGAUGGAUCCACUAUCUCCAAUGCUUUUUCUUCUCUCC
rnacentral:lncRNA from 1 species